rnacentral:rRNA from 1 species
AUUAUGAGAGUUUGAUCCUGGCUCAGGACGAACGCUGGCGGCGUGCCUAAUACAUGCAAGUCGUACGCUUCUUUUUCCACCGGAGCUUGCUCCACCGGAAAAAGAAGAGUGGCGAACGGGUGAGUAACACGUGGGUAACCUACCCAUCAGAAGGGGAUAACACUUGGAAACAGGUGCUAAUACCGUAUAACAAUCGAAACCGCAUGGCUUUGAUUUGAAAGGCGCUUUCGGGUGUCGCUGAUGGAUGGACCCGCGGUGCAUUAGCUAGUUGGUGAGGUAACGGCUCACCAAGGCCACGAUGCAUAGCCGACCUGAGAGGGUGAUCGGCCACAUUGGGACUGAGACACGGCCCAAACUCCUACGGGAGGCAGCAGUAGGGAAUCUUCGGCAAUGGACGAAAGUCUGACCGAGCAACGCCGCGUGAGUGAAGAAGGUUUUCGGAUCGUAAAACUCUGUUGUUAGAGAAGAACAAGGAUGAGAGUAACUGUUCAUCCCUUGACGGUAUCUAACCAGAAAGCCACGGCUAACUACGUGCCAGCAGCCGCGGUAAUACGUAGGUGGCAAGCGUUGUCCGGAUUUAUUGGGCGUAAAGCGAGCGCAGGCGGUUUCUUAAGUCUGAUGUGAAAGCCCCCGGCUCAACCGGGGAGGGUCAUUGGAAACUGGGAGACUUGAGUGCAGAAGAGGAGAGUGGAAUUCCAUGUGUAGCGGUGAAAUGCGUAGAUAUAUGGAGGAACACCAGUGGCGAAGGCGGCUCUCUGGUCUGUAACUGACGCUGAGGCUCGAAAGCGUGGGGAGCAAACAGGAUUAGAUACCCUGGUAGUCCACGCCGUAAACGAUGAGUGCUAAGUGUUGGAGGGUUUCCGCCCUUCAGUGCUGCAGCUAACGCAUUAAGCACUCCGCCUGGGGAGUACGACCGCAAGGUUGAAACUCAAAGGAAUUGACGGGGGCCCGCACAAGCGGUGGAGCAUGUGGUUUAAUUCGAAGCAACGCGAAGAACCUUACCAGGUCUUGACAUCCUUUGACCACUCUAGAGAUAGAGCUUCCCCUUCGGGGGCAAAGUGACAGGUGGUGCAUGGUUGUCGUCAGCUCGUGUCGUGAGAUGUUGGGUUAAGUCCCGCAACGAGCGCAACCCUUAUUGUUAGUUGCCAUCAUUCAGUUGGGCACUCUAGCAAGACUGCCGGUGACAAACCGGAGGAAGGUGGGGAUGACGUCAAAUCAUCAUGCCCCUUAUGACCUGGGCUACACACGUGCUACAAUGGGAAGUACAACGAGUCGCGAAGUCGCGAGGCUAAGCUAAUCUCUUAAAGCUUCUCUCAGUUCGGAUUGUAGGCUGCAACUCGCCUACAUGAAGCCGGAAUCGCUAGUAAUCGCGGAUCAGCACGCCGCGGUGAAUACGUUCCCGGGCCUUGUACACACCGCCCGUCACACCACGAGAGUUUGUAACACCCGAAGUCGGUGAGGUAACCUUUUGGAGCCAGCCGCCUAAGGUGGGAUAGAUGAUUGGGGUGAAGUCGUAACAAGGUAGCCGUAUCGGAAGGUGCGGCUGGAUCACCUCCUUUCUAAGGAA